ensembl:lncRNA
CACUGCGCUCUAUCCUGCAGGAGUUCUAACAGAAUCAAAAGGUGGCAAGGUAGGAUAAGCAGUUUGAAAUAGUCUAGUGACCUCCAGACAACUUCGGUGACUUCCUCCCUGGGAAAGGUGACAGUAUUGGAAAGCCUGGAGAGGAGGCAAAGGCUUAGAGGACAGGAGGGACACGCAGCACCACAGCAGCAGCAUUGCCCAAUGGCAACACCUUCCAACUCCGGGCACCCCCUUCACCCACAGCGACCCCUACCCCAUGUCCCCUUGGCACUAUCCCCUCCCAGUCCAGGUGCCCCAACUCUGCCGGAGGGUUAUUUUGCCACUUUCCCAAGCACUGAAGUCUGUAACCAGGAGUGGGGGAUGGGAGGGGUGUUGAAAGAAGGAGCCUAACAGCAAUUCAAAUUUAUCUGUGUCUCCAGCACACACCUGACAGUUUUGCAGUCUGGGCCGGGCAAGUCUACAAGAGGUGGGCACUACUUAUGCGUGUGUUAUUGAGAGAGGGUGUCCUUUUUCUUUUUCUUUUCUUUUCUUUCUUUUCUUUUCUUUCUUUUUUUCCUCCAAGAGACUCUAAGCAAGUGAAGGGGGAAGGGGGUAGCAAUACGGAUUCCAAGCCGGACUGCAAACACAGAUGCAAAUGUCUGUCUCCAGACGCUGAUGUAAAGCAUGGGGCAGUUACCUUUGGCAGGGUCAGAACUGCAGCAGGUUAAUCGGGUGAGUCCUCGGGGAUUUUUUUUUUUUUUUAAUUUUUUUUUUUCAAAGCAACCGGGGCCGCCCCGGCUGCUUUUGGUUUAGAAAGUUCUACGACCCCCCCAUGCAGGGACAUCGCACAUCUCACACACGCCUCCUUGAGCUGGGCUCCCGCGACCUCGGCGGGGCGAGGGGGUGGCGGGCGGCCGGCGGGCGGCCAGGGCCCGGCCCCAGGCUGUGUCCCCGCGCGCAGCGGCCCUGCGUGGGCCCCGGGGUCCGCGUCCCGAGCGGCGCAGCACUCACCCAGCCGGGCGGCGAGGGGCCGAGCUGCGCCCGCGGCUAGCCGGAGCGCCCAGGCGCCUCCCUUCGCUCUUGGUAGCGUCGGUCCGCACUCCCUGUGACCCAGGACGUCAUGAUGCCUUCCCUGUUUUCUUAAUGAUAACUUGGCAGAAGAGGAGACAGGCUGCCAGGUUCUCCUCGGGUGGUUGCGUGGCAAAUUCUGUUUGUGCUUCACCAACUCACAAGUCAGUGGAGUGGCCAAAUGGCCCCUCUCCUUGGCAGGCAACUCAAACUCUGCAGAGGUCUGAAUGGAUGAUUGUUUCUUUGCUUGCUUUUUUGUUUGUUUGUUUGUUUGUUUGUUUUGAAGAGGGUCUUAUUAUAUACCUCUGACUGGCCUCAGCCAUUCAGCAAACUUCCUGCCUCAGCCUCCUAAAUGCUGGGAUUACAGAGUGCACCAGCAUACCUAGCCUGCAUAGGUGCUUUGGAAGCCAAUACUCUCCAACUCUUUGAAGAAUGCCUCUCUGUUGCUCAUCCAAGUUCAGACUUGGACUAUAUACAAGGUUUUAUUUUCUACCUCCAUCUUAAACACAAUAGUUAAUAGAGUUGGAGGCUGCUCAGUUUUAACUUCCGAGCCAAACCAGGAAGGACUAAGAAGGCUUGCUAAGGAUCAUGGGACACCCUGAAAACAAGGUUGGAAACUUAGCUGUGUUUGGAACUUGUAAAUCAAAUCCAAUCUCAAACACAAUGGGAGGGGAAGAUGAGGAUUAGCCCUGCCUUACAAAAGAAUAUCCCAGGAUGGAGAAGUGCAGACCUAAAUUACAAGGCUGAGAUUAAAAUUCAAGGGCUCUGAGCUCUUACUAUCAACCUAUUGCUAGCUGCUGGCAUCAGACCCAGACUGGUCCCCCCCAAGGACCAAUCAGGUUGGUGAACACUACCCUCUCACAGUCUCAAAGCCCCUCACCCUUUCUCCAGCAUGCCAGGCCUUCCCUUUGCCUCUUUAAAUUCAAUUCCUUGUUCCAGUUCUACCCAUGGAUGAAGGCCAAGGUCCAAGCCCACUGGAUCCACCACGAUGUUAUUUACAAGCUUUCUGCUCUUCUACAGUUCUUCAGUGUUCACUGCUGCAUAGAACAUGAAUGUUCUCUAUUUGGGGGCUAUUUUUAAUCCCUUCUCCAUCUUCCAGUUCUUUCCUAACAGAAUUAUGCCUCCCCACACCUCCGCCUUUUCCGGUUCAUCCAGCAUAGUACCAAUUAUAACACUGGCUUUCAUUUAUACCUCGGGUGUAUUAAUCCACACAAAGGUACCCUUUGGAGCGCAAGGUUAGCAUGUCGCAAACCGAUAGAAUCUGAAAGUUCUGUGU